UACAAAGCCCCCACCUACAGAAUGAGC
rnacentral:piRNA from 1 species